rnacentral:rRNA from 1 species
CAGUAGCCACGGUAAUACGUAGGGUGCGAGCGUUAAUCGGAAUUACUGGGCGUAAAGCGUGCGCAGGCGGUUGUGUAAGACAGGUGUGAAAUCCCCGGGCUUAACCUGGGAACUGAGCUUGUGACUGCACAGCUAGAGUAUGGCAGAGGGGGGUGGAAUUCCACGUGUAGCAGUGAAAUGCGUAGAGAUGUGGAGGAACACCGAUGGCGAAGGCAGCCCCCUGGGCCAAUACUGACGCUCAUGCACGAGAGCGUGGGGAGCGAACAGGAUUAGAUACCCCCGUAGUCCCUGUCUCUUAUAA